rnacentral:misc_RNA from 1 species
UGUAAGGAGUUAAUAGCCAGCCCAGCUUUAUCAACAGCUGUAAAAUUGAUCAUGGCACUCCUGCUCUCCUCCUGCUGAAUAUAAGAGUAUGUCUGCCUUAAGGUGGGCAAAGGAUUCUUACCAAGCACUUGGACCAAAAUCUGAUCAUACUUCACAUUUAGCCCAGUAAGAAAAUCAUAUAUGUGCUCCUUCUCAAUCAAUUUCUAGAACUUAACUGCAUCAGCCGGACAUGAAGCCUCUAAGUCCUGAUAGAAAUCCAAUUCUUGCCAUAGAUCACUCAGUUCCGUAUAAUACUGAGCAAUAGUCAACUCACCUUGUUUCAUUCCAUGAACCUUGUUCCUAAGCUCAUAAACUUGUGCAUCAUUCCCAACUUGAGAAUAAGUCUAAGAAACAGCACUCCAAAUGGUAGCGGCACUGUCCAACAGUAAAUACCCACGAGCUUUAUGAGGUUGGAUAGAAUUGAUGAGCCAUGACAUA